rnacentral:rRNA from 1 species
GACGAACGCUGGCGGCGUGCUUAACACAUGCAAGUCGAACGAAGUUGCGAACGUGUGAGUAACGCGUAUUCAACCUGCCCUUCAGAGGGGGACAACAGUUGGAAACGACUGCUAAUACCGCAUACUGAAGGAGGGGAUUUCGUCUGAUUUGCUAGUUGGAGGGGUAACGGCCCACCAAGGCGAUGAUCAGUUACCGGGCUGAGGGGGUGGACGGCCAAAUUGGGACUGAGACACGGCCCAGACGCCUACGGGAGGCAGGAGGGGGGAAUCUUCCGCAAUGGACAAAAGGCUGACGGAGCAAAGCCGCGGGAGUGAUGACGGCCGUCGGGUUGUAAAGCUCUGUUAAUCGGGACGCGGUACCGGAAUAGAAAGCCACGGCUAACUACGUGCCAGCAGCCGCGGUAAUUC